rnacentral:rRNA from 1 species
ACGGCGAGUGAGCGGGAAGAGCACAAAUUUUAAAUCUACCUGGGUUUUCCAGGUCGAGUUGUAAUUUGAAGAAACGUUUUUUACGUUCCGGGUUGGAUUAAAUCCUUUGGGAUAAGGUAUCAUGGAGGGUGAGAAUCCCGUGUAUACCAACCACUGGAAUGUUAUUAAUACGAUUUCUAAGAGUCGAGUUGUUUGGGAAUGCAGCUCUAAAUGGGUGGUAAAUUUCACCUAAUGCUAAAUAUAAGCGAGAGACCGAUAGUGAACAAGUACCGUGAGGGAAAGAUGAAAAGAACUUUGAAAAGAGAGUUAAAUAGUACGUGAAAUUGUUGAAAGGGAAACGGUUGAAGUCAGUCAUGCCGGUGGGAAUCAACUUAGGGGAAACUCUAGGUGCACUUCUUCGCUUGGCAGGUUAGCGUCGAUUUUGGAUGUCAUAAAAUGACUGGGGGAAGGUAGCUCUUUCGGGAGUGUUAAGCCCUUAGUAGAUGUGAUGUUCGGGAUCGAGGAUUGCAACGGAUACCCUUUGGGCUAGCCGCCUGGUCUCUAAUACGAAGUUGGGUUAUGGAUAGCAUGCUAACCAUGAUCUGAUUUUCGGUUAAAAGAUUAGAGUGAGCGUAAAUUCGUAAGG